rnacentral:rRNA from 1 species
UUUUAUGCCACCCUGAACGUGCCCGAUCUCAUCUGACCUCAGAAGCUAAGCAAGGUCAGGCCUGGUUAGUACUUGGAUAGGAGACUGCCCAGGAAAACCAGGUGCUGUAGGCG